CCCCAACUUUAAUUUUUGAAAUCCCAAACAUAAAAUCAUCAUCUUCAUCUUCCUCUCUUCGAUGAUGACAAUGGAGACAUUUACACGCGUUCUUCUUUGCUCAUUCAUCAUUGUUCUUCAGUUUUGAGCUUGGGUCCUCUUUGCUCACGUUCAAGCUUCGAUCCUCUCUGCUUGCCGUUCGAGCUUCGAUCCUCUUUGCUUGCGUUUUGAGCUUCGAUCCUCUUUGCUCUAUUUUGUUCAUUACCGUCAGUUACUAUUUCGCAGGAGAUUGAUAAAAAAUAUUUGCGAAUCUUUGGCGAACACUAAGUGCAAAUUGUGCGUAUAUAGCAAAUUGUUGCGUCAUAACCUCGUAAGAUAUUUCUAUCUUAUACUUAUUUGCUUUUAUAUGUGUAUAUUCUUGCACUUUUUUAUGUAUAAUGUUCUUUUUAUGUAAUGUUUGUCUACUAUUGAAUUAUUAAUAGAAUUCAUUCAUCUAUUAAUAUUCUUUUAAGGUGUUGUUAGCAGGUAUAUAAAUUACAUCAUUUUUGCUACCUAGAUUCUUAGUUUAACAGUAAUAUCCUAUGAACAAUUAUGUUUUCCCAAGACUCAUCCAAGAACUGGAUGAGUUUACCAAGACAUAGCCAAGAGUUUAGGGACAACGUCAAUAGAUUCUUGGACUAUGCUUACUUCUUUGAAAAUCCUCGAGGAGAGAAAAUUAUAUGUUCUUGUGCAAAAUGUUGCAACUAUUUUUGACCUUGUCAAAGACAGUCUGUUUAUAGCAAUUUGCUUUGGAUUCAUCAAGGGCUAUACACGAUGGGUUAAUCAUAGGAAAAAUAUAAUUGGUAUGGAUGUCGAUACUGGUGAUACCGAUGAGAUUUAUUCAUGCGAUGACAUUAAAGGCAUGCUAGACGAAAGGUUUAGGAAUAUGGCAGAUGUUGAGGGAGAAAAAGAAGCUAUGAACGAAGAUGCAAAGAAGUUCUAUAAUUUGGUUGACGAGGCUAGCAAGGAACUAUAUCCUGUUUGCAAUGGAUUCUCUACGUUAUCUUUCACUAUCCAACUAUACUUGUUGAAGUGUCUACACAAAUGGAGCAAUGCCUCAUUCACUUCCCUCUUGGAGUUAUUCAAAGAGGUUAUUCCUAACUUGAAUCUCCUUUCUUCUUUUAACAAAGCCAAGGCUAGUAAGAGAUUUAGGUUUUGAUUACAAAAAGAUUUAUGCAUGUCCAAAUGACUGCAUGCUAUAUUGAAAAGAGCACAAGAAUGAAACAUGUUGCCAUGAAUGUGGAACUUCUCAUUGGAUUGAGAAUGUGGUAGUUAAAGGUGACAUAUCUUCAAAGAAAGCUCACAACAUUCUUGCAAAGAUAUUGCGAUACUUUCCCUAAAUUUCCAGGCUUCAAAGGCUAUUCAUGUGCUCAAAGAUUGCUAAGAAUAUGAGUUGGUAUCAGGAGAAAGCGUAAAAAGGAUGGAAAGCUAAAGCAUCUUGCCGAUGGUCAAUCAUGGAAGGAUUUUGAUAACCGACAUUCAGAAUUUGCCAAGGAACUUCGUAACUUGAGACUUGGUUUGGCGAGCAAUGGAUUCAAUUUGUUUCGAACCAUGAGUAUAUCUCAUAGCACAUGGUCAGUUAUUUUAGUGACUUAUAACUUGCCACCAUGGAUGUGCAUGAAACAAGAAUACUUCAUGCUUUCUUUGUUGAUACUGGGACCAAAAUCGCCAUAAAAUGAUAUCGACAUGUACCUGCAACCAUUGAUCACAUAACUUUCUCUAUUAAACUCUAAUUUCCCUCAUAUUUAUACCAUUUUAAAGCUCUCACAACUAUCUUCAAUUUGAAAUAAAUUUCACUCAAUUCCAAACUCCGAGAGCCAAGUUAUGGCCCACCGAAGUUGGUUAAAAACAAGAUUUUACCAAAUUUGUCAAUCCUCAAAAGACCAAAUCUCUCAAACCAAACCAAUUUAAUCAUAGCCCAAACAAUACCAAAACAAUCCAAAAAUUCAUACCAAACAUUCCUAAACCAUUUCUCAAUCAUUCAACCAUCUAAACCAUUCAAUUCUCACCUCAUUAACUCAUUCAAAAUUCUCAAUUCAACGUAAUUCAUAUCAAUACUCAUUAUCAACAUAAUCAUCAACAAACACCAUCAACCAUUAACUAUAUCCAUUCAUUUCAUAGCAUUAUAACCAUUAUCAUUCCACAACAAUCAUAUCACCCCUCCAUUCACAAUUUCACAUACCACACAUACAUUUAAUCAACAAUUCAAUCAUUCAUACGAAUUCAACCUAUCUUAAGGCAACUAACCUAAGUCUCACGCAACAUAACAUAUUAACUAAAGGAAACCGAAACCAUACCUUGGCAGAUUCUCACACAAGCACAAAAUCACCAAAUUGAUCCUCAAACAAGUUCAACGAUACUUAGCCACCAAAAUCAACUCCAAGCAAUCCAAACUACCAAUAUCAACUCCAAUCAACAUGUAUUUACUUUAAUAUCAUUCAAUACACCCAAAUUAACACUAAUGUUCACAAACUCAAUAAACCACAAGGGUUUUGAAUUGGCUUACUUCAUUCAAUGGUAUUUGAUGAAAAAUCCAAUAAUUUUUUAAUGUUAGUUGACACCUAAACAACCAAAAUCACAAAAUUCACUCAACCACCAUAGCCAAAAACUCAAAAUCUGUUAGAGCAGAGAACUAGGUAAAAAAUUGAAAUUUUCUUACCACUUUGUUUGGAUAGAAAUGAAGAGCUCGUCGAGAGCUUCGUGUGACCGUAAACAGCACGCAAAUUGGAGCUCUGUAGCUCAAGAUAUGAGCCAAGGAAGAAGAAGACGAAUAGUGCUAAGUGGGGUUUUCUUCUUCUCUUCUCAAACCUAUUGCCUCUCUCUCUCUCACUUGUGUGCUGAAAUGAGGGUGAAUGUUCAUUAAUUGGAGCUUUUAUAUGUUGGGCUUGGGUCCAACUUGGACCCGGUCCAAUUGGUUUGUAUUUUUGGCUCGUUUGACCUAAUUUUGGGCCAAAACCUUUAAAAUAAGUGACCGAUUUUCAAUUUAAAUAUUUUUCUAAGUUUUUUUGCAGUUUUAAUUUCUCACUCGCAGUACCGGACAGACUUAAAUCGGUACUAUCGAUAUGCAUUUUUACGCAAAUUUUCCCCAGAAAAAUACACUUUUUCACUCGAAAAAAUUUACCGAAUCCAAAUCUCUCCUUCAAAUUUUUAAAUUAAUAUUUCUAAAUUUUCGAACCUAUUCCAAAAAAUUAAACUAUUAUUUUAUUUUAAUUAAUCGGUUAAUUAAAUUUCUGGUUCUUACAAUCCUUAAAUCACUGCUACACACUUGGCAACUAAAGAGAGUGCAAGGUCAGCAGAAUGUACAACCACAACUUAAAGAAUUUUUUUCUCUAACAUUCUGCUACAAUGUUCUGAUUUUUCAUAAUUCAAAAUUCAAUUUUUGGAUGCAUUACCUCCAUAUAAAGUGGCACUUAACCAGAUUUUGAAAUCAAGGAAAAUAGAGCAUUUACAACACAUAUUCUUAUUGAAGUUUCAUUCUUUCUUUCAUGGAGUUUACAUAGAAUAUUUCUUUUUUAUCUUUUCUAUCUAUCACUUUUUUGUAACUAAAAAAGGCUGAGUUUCAUCAUAUGAGAAAUCAAAGUAAAUGCUAUGAGAGAAAAAAGGCAAAAGAGGUCAGUUUGAGAAAAGCCAUAAUAUUCAUUUUAUUAUAAUUGGUGUUUUGAUUUCUUGAAUUAGGAUUUGUUCUCUUUUUUAAACUGGGUUAGCACUUGGAGAUUGACUAUGCUUGUGGAGAAGCGUAAUGGUUUGUUGAACCAUGUUAGGUCAUCCUUACUAAGUUGGGAUAAUACUCAGUGUAAAGCUAGGCUAAGUGAGCUUUGUGUUGAGAAGUUUGGUGAAAAGUUUAGGUGAUUCCUAAAUGGAUUAGGUUGUAAUCCUAUGGAAUUGGUGUUUGUUAUUCCCCUGAAAUUAUAGUGAAAUUCUAUUACUAUUAUUAUGGAGACGGAAUGUAAAUCACAUUGCACUAAAUGGUUGAACCAAGAUACAUAGUAUUGCAAGAUUUGCUUCUUUUCUCUUCUCUGCA